rnacentral:rRNA from 1 species
CCUACGGGUGGCAGCAGUAGGGAAUAUUGCUCAAUGGGGGAAACCCUGAAGCAGCAACGCCGCGUGGGGGAUGAAGGUUUUAGGAUUGUAAACUCCUUUUGGUAGAGAAGAUUAUGAAGUGAUCUAACGAAUAAGCACUGGCUAAUUCCGUGCCAGCAGCCGCGGUAAUACGGCGGGUGCAAGCGUUAAUCGGAAUCACUGGGCGUAAAGAGUGCGUAGGCGGGGUAAUAAGUCAGAUGUGAAAUCCUUUAGCUUAACGACAGAACUGCAUUUGAAACUGGUACUCUGGAGUGUGUGAGAGGUAAGUGGAAUUCUAGGUGUAGGAGUAAAAUCCGUAGAUAUCAGGAGGAAUACUAGUGGCGAAGGCGACCUGCUGGAACAUUACUGACGCUGAUGCGCGAAAGCGUGGGGAGCAAACAGGAUUAGAUACCCGAGUAGUC